rnacentral:rRNA from 1 species
UGCAUAUCAAAAGCGGAGGAAAAGAAACUAACAAGGAUUCCCCUAGUAACGGCGAGUGAACCGGGAAGAGCUCAAAUUUGAAAUCUGGCGUGCUCAGUGCGUCCGAGUUGUAAUCUAUAGAGUCGUUUUCCGUGCCGGACUGUGUCCAAGUCCCUUGGAACAGGGUAUCAAAGAGGGUGAUAAUCCCGUACUUGACACAAUGACCGGUGCUCUGUGAUACGUCUUCUACGAGUCGAGUUGUUUGGGAAUGCAGCUCAAAAUGGGUGGUGAGUUCCAUCUAAAGCUAAAUAUUGGCGAGAGACCGAUAGCGAACAAGUACCGUGAGGGAAAGAUGAAAAGCACUUUGGAAAGAGAGUUAAACAGUACGUGAAAUUGUUAAAAGGGAAACGAUUGAAGUCAGUCGUGACUGAGAGGCUCAGCCGGUUCUGCCGGUGUAUUCCCCUCAGUCGGGUCAACAUCAGUUUUGUUCGGUGGAUAAGGGCAGUUGGAAGGUGGCACCCUCGGGUGUGUUAUAGCCAGCUGUCGCAUACAUCGGAUGAGACUGAGGAAUGCAGCUCGCCUUUAUGGCCGGGGUUCGCCCACGUUCGAGCUUAGGAUGUUGACAUAAUGGCUUUAAACGACCCGUCUUGAAACACGGACCA